rnacentral:rRNA from 1 species
AUUGAACGCCGGCGGCAUGCUUUACACAUGCAAGUCGAACGGUAACAGGGUGCUUGCACCGCUGACGAGUGGCGAACGGGUGAGUAAUGCGUCGGAACGUGCCGAGUAGUGGGGGAUAACGCAGCGAAAGUUGUGCUAAUACCGCAUACGUACUGAGGUAGAAAGUGGGGGACCUUCGGGCCUCACGCUAUUCGAGCGGCCGACGUCUGAUUAGCUAGUAGGUGAGGUAAAGGCUCACCUAGGCGACGAUCAGUAGCGGGUCUGAGAGGAUGAUCCGCCACACUGGGACUGAGACACGGCCCAGACUCCUACGGGAGGAAGCAGUGGGGAAUUUUGGACAAUGGGCGAAAGCCUGAUUCAGCCAUGCCGCGUGUCUGAAGAAGGCCUUCGGGUUGUAAAGGACUUUUGUCAGGGAGGAAAUCCCUAGUGCUAAUAACACUGGGGGAUGACAGUACCUGAAGAAUAAGCACCGGCUAACUACGUGCCAGCCGCCGCCGUAA